CGUCUCAGGCUAGUGUGCAGAGUGCCGCCGUGGGCGGGGGCCCCGGGAGUCCCUGGUGCUCUCCCGGAACCCUCUGAGCUACUCCAGACUCGGCUUUCAGAGGGGACUAACUCUGAAACCAGCAUCUCUUCUCCCUCACUGCCUCCCGCUCCGAGUCAGCUAUUUCCUCGCACCUCUGCAAGUGGACCUCCACACCUGGGUGCUGGGAAGGGAGGUCGACUGCUUUAGAACUCCACCUUAGAGCGGCCCAGCGAUUACAUAGCUCUUGAACAUGAAAAAGGUGAUUGACGUGCUGUAUCUAUGACAUCCUACAUAUUUCCUGGGAUCUGGCUGGCCAUCUUGACUUUAAGAAGACUGAACUUGGCGGAGUGAUAGAAGUUUCACACAAAUUUCUUGUCAUACAGAGAACUGAGAGGGGGUGACAUGCCAAGGAGCCAUUUAGAAGCCCAUGCAGAAGAGGACAAAACCCCAAUCUGCUCAGGAUCCUGAGCCACUCCCUCAAGACAAAGGUCAGAAACAAAGCAGAUUUGGGAGGCUACAAUCAAGGUUAUUUGAGAAGUGGGACCUGGUGUUUUACCGUUACCUAUGAGUGUCCACACAGAAAUUUAUAGAUGUGGGAAAGGCUGGGUAAUGAGAACGCUCCAUAAAGAGGCACCGUACUUCACCGGGGAGAAAUUGUCCAAGUUGCUUCACAAACGUUAAGAAAUAUGCCUACUUAAUUGUGUGUUGAAAUUUCCAUGGUCUUUACUUUAUUCGUUUCAUGUGCAGCGAUUAAAAAGAUAUAUUGUACAUUUUAGUAUCUCUUAUGUUUUCCAAUAAAUACAAACCUGGAGUGCA